rnacentral:rRNA from 1 species
GCAAGGGGAGCGGCAGACGGGAGAGUAACACGUGGGAACAUACCCUUCAGUUCGGAACAACCCAGGGAAACUUGGGCUAAUACCGAAUACGUCCGUAAGGAGAAAGAUUUAUCGCUGAGGGAUUGGCCCGCGUCCGAUUAGCUAGUUGGUGAGGUAAUGGCUCACCAAGGCGACGAUCGGUAGCUGGUCUGAGAGGAUGAUCAGCCUCACUGGGACUGAGACACGGCCCAGACUCCUACGGGAGGCAGCAGUGGGGAAUAUUGGACAAUGGGCGCAAGCCUGAUCCAGCCAUGCCGCGUGGAUGAUGAAGGCCCUAGGG